rnacentral:rRNA from 1 species
ACGGAAGGCAGCAGUGAGGAAUAUUGGUCAAUGGUCGGAAGACUGAACCAGCCAAGUCGCGUGCAGGAAGACGGUCCUAUGGAUUGUAAACUGCUUUUGUACGGGAAUAAAGUUCAGGACGUGUCCUGUUUGGAAUGUAUCGUAAGAAUAAGGGUCGGCUAACUCCGUGCCAGCAGCCGCGGUAAUACGGAUGACCCGAGCGUUAUCCGGAUUUAUUGGGUUUAAAGGGUGCGCAGGCGGAGGAUUAAGUCAGCGGUGAAAUUCUCAUGCUCAACAUGGGAACUGCAAUUGAAACUGGACCCCUUGAGAGAUGUCGAGGAUGGCGGAAUGUCAUGUGUAGCGGUGAAAUGCUUAGAUAUGUCACAGAACACCGAUUGCGAAGGCAGCUGUCCAGAGAUCAUCUGACGCUCAGGCACGAAAGCAUGGGUAUCAAACAGGAUUAGAUACCCUGGUA